UACGGGGGGGGCAAGCGUUGUUCGGAAUUACUGGGCGUAAAGGGUUUGUAGGUGGCCAACUAAGUCAGACGUGAAAUCCCUCAGCUUAACUGGGGAACUGCGUCUGAUACUGGAUGGCUUGAGUUCGGGAGAGGGAUGCGGAAUUCCAGGUGUAGCGGUGAAAUGCGUAGAUAUCUGGAGGAACACCGGUGGCGAAGGCGGCAUCCUGGACCGACACUGACGCUGAGGAGCGAAAGCCAGGGGAGCAAACGGG
rnacentral:rRNA from 1 species